UUCACCCAGGCAAACCCCACUCCUGUCUCUGAAGCUCUGUGGAAGUUCAUGGCAAUUCUUGACUAAAAUGUCCCUUCUCCAUAGAUGGGCAGCUCCCAUCCUGCCACCGGCUCUGAACUUUGUUCAUCCCAGAGCGAUAACCCUUCCUUUGGCUCUUUCUUGUGUGGCUUUUCCCCUGCACACUUUCCAGGACCACAUGAGUUCUCAUGAGAAAACAGAAGUCAACCCCCAACUUUGACAGGUGAAGCCCUCUGGGAGGCUGGCUGGUGUAGGAGCCAGGACAACACUGAGAUGUCCUUCCAAACCAAGACCCGAACAGCUGAGGAGCUCCCGUUACCCACGAAGUGGAACUGAAAGUCACUGGCCUAGAUGGUGUCUGAGGAUUCUCACAGGUGGAAGAUGGUCUGACCUGUUCACAGAGACUAUAAACAAGACUCGGUGACAGUGGAGGGGUGACCUUUUCAAGUGCAGUCAGAACAAGACUGAUAUUUGCCUGUUGGUCAGGUCAGCCUCAUCACUGGUCUGAAAGCUUCCUGGGAGCAAAGAUUACGUUUUGCCACCUCCUCCCAUGCCAUUGGUAUAGACUAUGGACCACAUAUCACAUAGGAG